rnacentral:rRNA from 1 species
UACGUAGGGACCGAGCGUUGUCCGGAAUCAUUGGGCGUAAAGAGCGUGUAGGCGGCCACUUAAGUCCUGCGUGAAAUCUUGCGGCUCAACCGCAAGCGGUCGUGGGAAACUGGGUGGCUAGAGUGCGGGAGAGGAGAGUGGAAUUCCUGGUGUAGCGGUGGAAUGCGCAGAUAUCAGGAAGAACACCCGUGGCGAAGGCGGCUCUCUGGAACGCAACUGACGCUGAGACGCGAAAGCGUGGGGAGCGAACAGGG